AUGCCACGCCUCCUGAGGCUGUGGAGACCACAAGGGCUUCCACACGACAGGCAAAACACUGUGCACCGCUCUCCAAGUAUGAGGCUUAAGUCCUGAGCAUUUCAAAAGCCCUCCGAGACCUCCCGUCUCCCUAUAAUGAAAGGCACUGCAGAAACCCAAGGUAUGAUUAUCACUUCUGAAAGGAAGAAAAAAAUACUGGCUCACAAAACAUCCGUACUUGUGCAUCCACAGAUAAGGCUGUUUUAUAAUCCAGUUCCCCAGAGAGCCAUUUAUUUUGGUGAAGCCCGUGUGCAUAGCAGACACUGUAGAAGCCAUCAAGAUAACACGAGUAACAACCCAGUGGACUUUUGAAGUGUAAACAUAAAAGUCUCUAUUAAGAAUACAAUGUUGGUUUAAUCCCAAGACAAAAAAUUUACUUAAUGAAAAGCACAACUCAUCUCAAGAAGGAAAUAUCGAUACCAGCUGUGAGUAGAAAAUGAGGGGAUUCCUUCCAGGGAACAUCUGAAUUGAAACCCACUGCCUUUCCAAUAUUCACUAUGGACAUAAAGUCUGAAAUACUUUUCUGAGGAUCUCAUUUUUCUCCAGGAGGAGGAGGUCAGAGGAGUCUGGGCAGGGCAAAAGGAGAGCCCGGCAGACCCUAGAAAUACACAAACCAAUGGCCCAGAAGGCCUUCCCCGACAAACUUACCUUCUUUCUCUGGGUGGAGCUGCAAGUAUUGAGUACUGGCCUCCUCGCCUCAAGGGUCUCUGCUACCAGGUGCUAGUAAGACCCUGACUCAAGCACACUGCAGUGCCACUUUUAGCCGCUUUCUGUAUUCUUUCAAUAUAUUCUGGUGAAGCAGUGGGAUGGUAAGGAAGGUGAGAAGACAUGGCCUUCUUAAAGAGGACUUUUAGAUUACCAGCUGUGCUUUACUACCUUUGAGAAGGACCACAUGCUCUGAAAUGAAGAAUUGGCCAUUGGCCACACUUGUGGAUGCCAAGAACCCACAGCAAAGUAUUUAUACUCUCUUCACUUACAGUCCUUCCUCCCAGCUCCCCCAAGGCCCACUGGCUAAUAUUGAAGAAAACUUCUUAUAUACAACUUCAUACUUAGAUAUGUUUGAGUAUAAUGAAAAACUAAUGUGAUAGAAUGCAACGCAACACAACUAGGGAACGACCUCCAGUGCUGGCAAAAAGUAACAGAGAAACCGACAUUGAAAUAACAGCAGAAAUGAAAGCCGGAGGAAAGAAAGCAUGUAGGCUAUGUGCAUUUCUUAGUAAUCUAAUGAUGGAAAAAUCACUAAGACUUCAAUUAAGACUUUAUGGGAACUUCAAUCUGAUGUUUCCAGUUAUAUCUACAAGAUAUCAGAACAUCUAUUCAAAAAGGAAACUAUAAAUAACUUUAACAGAGUUGAAUUGGUUUUGCUUUAAUGAAAUGACUGAAUAAUUGACAAGAUUUAAAGAUAUUUUACUCAGAA